UACGUAGGGUGCGAGCGUUAAUCGGAAUUACUGGGCGUAAAGCGUGCGCAGGCGGUUUUGUAAGCCAGAUGUGAAAUCCCCCGGGGCUUAACCUGGGAAUGGCAUUUGGGACUGCAAGGCUUGAGUUUGGCAGAGGAGACUGGAAUUCCUGGUGUAGCAGUGAAAUGCGUAGAUAUCAGGAGGAAUACCGAUGGCGAAGGCAGGUCUCUGGGCUAGAACUGACGCUCAUGCACGAAAGCGUGGGGAGCAAACAGG
rnacentral:rRNA from 1 species